CCCUUAGAUGUUCUGGGCCGCACGCGUGCUACACUGAGUGGAUCAGCGGGUCAGGUUACGCGAGCGCGUUUCCUAAUCUUCAAAUCCGCUCGUGAUGGGGAUUGACGGUUGCAAUUUUCCGUCAUGAACGAGGAAUACCUUGUAAGCGCGGGUCAUCAUCCCGCGCUGAAUACGUCCCUGCCCUUUGUACACACCGCCCGUCGCUCCUACCGAUUGAGUGGUCCGGUGAGGCUUUGGGAUCUAAGCGAAAAGAGCGUUUCGCUCCUUUUGCUGGGAGAACUCAGUCGAACCUUAUCAUUUAGAGGAAGGAGAAGUCGUAACA
rnacentral:rRNA from 1 species